AUGCACUCUUCUUUAAAUAUACAUUUUCCUGGUCAUUUAUUAUAUAAUUAAACUAAAACUCAAUAGGUCGUUAUACUUCUGCUGUGCUCAGUGUCUUGGACAAGGAGAAAGAUGUCCAGCUUUAAACUUUUUCCAUCACAGGUUAAUGGCAUAGGAAUAAUUUUGUGGAAGGUCUGAACUAGUCACCAUAUUUUAAAAGAAAUACACAUUACUUUUAAAAUCAUAUAUAUUCACUUCCAACACUAAUGGCAAAUGAAGCACCUCCCACUCAAAGCCCAAUUGAAAUAUUGUUAAAUGCGUGUUAAAUAAAAAUUUCUAAAGCAAUUUUGUAAGGUAUUAACAAUUUGCAAAAGUAAUCCGAUUUACAAUAUCUUUUCAGGUUGCAUGUAAAGAGGAAGAGAGAUUGUUGUUUAAAAUAAUAAAAGCAUUGAUGGUAGAGAGAAAAGAAGGAAGACACCUUGAUAGUUAACAGAAACACAAUGAUGAAAGAACACAACAGUCAAAAGUACCAGACAGAAGGGGGCUCUGGAAAUGUCAUCAAAGCCACAAUGACCAGGCUAUUUAAAGAAGUGUGAUCAGCAUCAGCUGGCUACUCAGGUCCCUUGCCCUUUCAUUUACUACCUCUAAACAAAUCACGUUCCUCUGGUAGGAGAGGUAUUUAUAACCCAGCAUAGACCUAGGCCUGCCUCUGAAUAGUGAACAACCUAUGUGGGGACACACCUUGUCUUGUGGCCUGAGAUGAGGAAGGCAGGCCUGGAGGUGACUUGUGGAUCUCCACACCUGACACUGGAAGGGGGAGCCAGCACUACCCAAGGGUAGGACGUUCUAAAGCUCAUGACCCCAAAAUACAGCCUUCCUGCUUUUGUUUGUUUGUUCCAAGAAUAUGAGGGGUUCACCCUAGCCACUCCCACCUAUGCACCGCAGGGAAGCUGCUCUGUUGACACCCCUGGCCACUGACAGCAUUUGUAGAAGCCCACAUUUGGCCAUCCCAGCCAAGACCUUUAAGACCUGCUCAGGAAUCAGACCUUUCCGGUUGCAGCAGAAACCCAUUUGGCCACCUAUACUAUUCAGCCUCCUCCUUGUUCACAAAAAUGGACAGCCAAUGACCACCCAGUCACAUAAGGAAAUCCAACAGCAAGAAAGGAAAGGACAAAGAUGUAAAUAGAAAGUGAGGCAGGGCCGGGCGCGGUGGCUCAAGCCUGUAAUCCCAGCACUUUGGGAGGCCGAGACGGGCGGAUCACGAGGUCAGGAGAUCGAGACCAUCCUGGCGAACACGGUGAAACCGUCUCUACUAAAAAAAAAUACAAAAAAAAAAAAAA
rnacentral:lncRNA from 1 species